CCUACGGGAGGCAGCAGUAGGGAAUCUUCCGCAAUGGACGAAAGUCUGACGGAGCAACGCCGCGUGAGUGAUGAAGGCUUUCAGGUCGUAAAACUCUGUUGUUAGGGAAGAACAAGUGCUAGUUGAAUAAGCUGGCACCUUGACGGUACCUAACCAGAAAGCCACGGCUAACUACGUGCCAGCAGCCGCGGUAAUAUUCCUACGGGAGGCAGCAGUAGGGAAUAUUGGGCAAUGGAUGCAAGUCUGACCCAGCCAUGCCGCGUACAGGAAGAAGGUCCUCUGGAUUGUAAACUGCUUUUGUCGGGGAAGAAUAGGCAUCUUGCGAGGUGUUGUGACGGUACCCGAUGAAUAAGCCACGGCUAACUACGUGCCAGCAGCCGCGGUAAUA
rnacentral:rRNA from 1 species